CGUAGGGACCGAGCGUUGUCCGGAUUCAUUGGGCGUAAAGAGCUCGUAGGCGGCCACUCAAGUCGAAUGUGAAACCUCGAGGCUUAACCUCGAGCCUGCACUCGAUACUGGGCGGCUAGAGUCUGGUAGGGGGAUCUGGAAUUCCUGGUGUAGCGGUGGAAUGCGCAGAUAUCAGGAGGAACACCGGUGGCGAAGGCGGGAUCCUGGGCCAGUACUGACGCUGAGGAGCGAAAGCGUGGGGAGCAAACAGGAUUAGAUACCCUGGUAGUCCACGCCGUAAACGAUGGGCGCUAGGUGUGGGAGGUCAUCGACUCCUUCCGUGCCGCAGCUAACGCAUUAAGCGCCCCGCCUGGGGAGUACGGCCGCAAGGCUA
rnacentral:rRNA from 1 species